AGUGAACGCUGGCGGUAGGCCUAACACAUGCAAGUCGAACGGCAGCACAGUAAGAGCUUGCUCUUACGGGUGGCGAGUGGCGGACGGGUGAGGAAUACAUCGGAAUCUACUUUUUCGUGGGGGAUCACGUAGGGAAACUUACGCUAAUACCGCAUACGACCUACGGGUGAAAGCAGGGGAUCUUCGGACCUUGCGCGAUUGAAUGAGCCGAUGUCGGAUUGGCUAGUUGGCGGGGUAAAGGCCCACCAAGGCGCGGAUCCGUAGCUGGUCUGAGAGGAUGGUCGGCCACACUGGAACUGAGCCACGGUCCAGACGCCUACGGGAGGCAGCAGUGGGGAAUAUGGGACAGUGGGGGCAAGCAUGAUCCAGCCAUACCGCGUGGGUGAAGAAGGCCUUCGGGUUGUAAAGCCCUUUUGUUGGGAAAGAAAAGCAGCAGGUUAAUACCCCGCUGUUCUGACGGUACCCAAAGAAUAAGCACCGGCUAACUUCGUG
rnacentral:rRNA from 1 species